UGGGGAAUUUUGGACAAUGGGCGCAAGCCUGAUCCAGCCAUGCCGCGUGCGGGAAGAAGGCCUUCGGGUUGUAAACCGCUUUUGUCAGGGAAGAAAUCUUCUGAGUUAAUACCUCGGGAGGAUGACGGUACCUGAAGAAUAAGCACCGGCUAACUACGUGCCAGCAGCCGCGGUAAUACGUAGGGUGCAAGCGUUAAUCGGAAUUACUGGGCGUAAAGCGUGCGCAGGCGGUUUUGUAAGACAGAGGUGAAAUCCCCGGGCUCAACCUGGGAACUGCCUUUGUGACUGCAAGGCUUGAGUGCGGCAGAGGGGGGAUGGAAUUCCGCGUGUAGCAGUGAGAUGCGUAGAUAUGCGGAGGAACACCGAUGGCGAAGGCAAUCCCCUGGGCCUGCACUGACGCUCAUGCACGAAAGCGUGGGGAGCAAACAGGAUUAGAUACCCCUGGUAGUCCACGCCCUAAACGAUGUCAACUGGUUGUUGGGAAGGUUCCUUCUCAGUAACGUAGCUAACGCGUGAAGUUGACCGCCUGGGGAGUACGGCCGCAAGGUUGAAACUCAAAUGAAUUGAC
rnacentral:rRNA from 1 species